UACGUAGGGUGCGAGCGUUGUCCGGAAUUAUUGGGCGUAAAGAGCUUGUAGGUGGUUUGUCGCGUCUGCUGUGAAAAUCCGAGGCUCAACCUCGGACUUGCAGUGGGUACGGGCAGACUAGAGUGUGGUAGGGGAGACUGGAAUUCCUGGUGUAGCGGUGGAAUGCGCAGAUAUCAGGAGGAACACCGAUGGCGAAGGCAGGUCUCUGGGCCAUUACUGACACUGAGAAGUGAAAGCAUGGGGAGCGAACAGG
rnacentral:rRNA from 1 species